ACUCGUGAACUGUGGGGCUUAACGUCUCCCCCUGCAGAUCCGGGUACGGGGAAACCCGUUUAACCGACACACAAGGAG
ncrna:unclassified sequences L20-Deltaproteobacteria ribosomal protein leader